UGGGGGGAGGUGAGCUUUUGUUUUUAUUUUUUAUUUCUUAUUUUUUUUUCCUUCCUCUGGGGAGGAGGCUUCACUUUUGUGCCGGACUUAGGGAGGGGGUGUGUGAAGAGAAAGAGCUCUGCGGGUCACCCUGCUUUUGGCCGUCACCUAGCUGCUUUUGGCCCCGGCUCGCCUCCGUCCCCUCACGCCCUGUUCUGCCCACGGCCCGGACCUGCCUCGGAUUUCAUCGGAAAAGCCGGUACCAAUCUGCAGAGGAACUUUUGAGGGGAAGGGCUGUUCUUCCCCCCCAACUCCUUCUCCGUGCCAGUGGCAGUUUACACCCGCUGACGAGGAAGGGGAGUUCCAGCCGGAGCCUUUAACAGAGAGAACUGAGGGAUACUCAGUGACAUGAAAAGAUGACAAACACCCAGGAGUUCUCCAACAUGGUGUCUACUCAUGGGCCAGUCUUCUCUUUUUCUUUUUUUUUUUCCCCAAGAAGAAAGAUAAUUUGAAAAGAAGCUUUUAUAAAGCACACGGAAAAUACAUUAAUGCAAACUGAAGCAGCUGAUAGUUGCCUAAAAUGAAAGAGAUUUUUCUUGCAGGUUACCAGGAAUAUUGGCAAGGAGCUUGACGGACUGAUUUGAGCAAAGACUAUUCUGUGCUCAGACUUUCUGCAUCACACUUAGAGAUAUGUUUCUACACACAGUUAAUUCUUUGGAAAAUUCACAGGACAGAGUCAUAGAAUCGUUCAGGUUGGAAAAGGCCUUUAAGAUGAUCUAGUUCUACCCAUAUUAUCAGGAAUUAAUCAUUAAAGGCACUAAAUAUUUCAGUCUGGGAUUCUUUGUGAGCAAUAAUUUCACAGAGAACA